UUAUUUAUGGACAUGGGAAUAGUCAUCAUCGUUUCUCUACUUCUGGCAAGUACGAGUAUAAGUGCUCAGCAAGAUGCAGGGCUUUUCUGCAAUAUGAAAGAUGGCACGCCAGGGAUCUGCACAGAGUUACCUCAAUGCAACGUAGUUGAUAAGCAAUUACAGGCUGGUACACCACCGGAUACCCGGUGUGGUUGGGCUGGCUAUCUACCCAUUGUUUGUUGUCCAUUGCUUCUCCAGGAAAACUCGACCGGAAUAGCAACGGAAAAAAUCACGAUGACGUCUCAUUCCACCUUUUCAUCUUCAAGGCCUCUGGUUGCCGGGAGUCCGAUGGAAACCGAUGUUCUUGCGCGUCAGAUGUGUGCUCAUUACGCAAAAUCAGUCUACGCUCUGAUGACUCCACCGACCUUGGCGGUAGAUCGAACACCGGUCAAUGCCAGUCUUUGUGCUAUAAAAUAUCAGAAACUCAUUGUGGGUGGAACCAAGGCGGAACCCAAAGAGUUUCCACACAUGGUAGCAGUGGGAUUCAACACUCAUACUGGCAUCGAGUGGGGCUGCGGAGGCACCCUAGUAUCUGAUUUAUUUGUCUUGACUGCUGCACAUUGUACUUUUUCUUUGAAUGGAGGUGCUGCUGAGUGGGUUAGAGUUGGAGACUUGGAUUUAAAACAGAAUGAUGACGAUGCAAAACCUCAGCAGCGAAAAGUAAUUGAGAGAAUUCGACAUCCGAGUUAUAAAGCUUCAUCACAUUAUCAUGAUAUUGCGCUAUUACGUAUGGAAAGCCCAGUAACUUUCGAUGCCUGGGUGAGACCUGCCUGUUUACCGACUGUAAGCAGCGAACAAUUGCCUGAAAAAGCGAUUGCGACUGGCUGGGGAAAAGUCAAUUGGAUUGAUGAGGAAGGGUCCAAUAAACUCCUUAAGGUCACACUUUCCACGAUGCCUCAAGGACUUUGUAACCGUGUUGUCGUCGGAAAUACCGUCCAUCCAAGGUUGAAGCAGGGCAUAGUUGAUGAUUGGCAAAUCUGUGCUGGUGAGGAAGGGAAAGAUACGUGUCAGGGGGACAGCGGCGGACCACUUGUUGUCUUCGAUCGCAAUAACGAAUGCAUGUAUGAUGUCAUCGGCAUCACAAGUGUAGGAAUAUUGUGCGGAAGUAUUAUUCCAGGAAUAUACACACGCGUAUACCAUUAUCUCUCAUGGAUCGAAAAGGAGGUUUGGGGAUAAUAUAACUUCAACUUCUCUGUUUGAUGUACGUCUUCCUCCAUUGGAUUUCGUGCUCUUCCGAGGCUGCACUCCCCUGAGUCUCAUUCCCCGGGUGGUCACCAUGGACCCGACAUCCCUCGCCACGAGCUUCACCUUUUGCUUCUAAACCUUUCUGACAAAAUGCCCCCCUACUGCAACAUCCCUGGCCAUCAAAAUUGUUUGCCUGCUCCAGGAAAAGGAGAUUGUUAGAACUCAGAACGAGAGGGAGAUUGCUGAGGGAGACCUUGAACCCCCUGAGGAGGAGGUAGGGCUUCCCGAGCCUCAGAUCGAGCUUUGGGACAUUUCGUCUGGUCCUGAGGAUGAAGGUAUCGCUUCUGACCCAUCUUCGCAUGAAGCAGUGCCUCCCCCCCUCGAGGUGGAUUCGCCCGCAGGAAAGGUCGGCGAUUUGGGCUCUCCUUGCGAGAGGUAGUAACCCUUCCGCGAAGAGGCGGGGUCGCGCGGAUGUUGAGUGGACGAUUCGGGCCCUUCUUGCGAGAGGCAGUGGCCGCUCCUCGAAGAGGUGGGAUCGCCCGGAGGUCGGGUGGACCUCGUCGAGUUGCCUCAUCUGCCCCCUUCGUCCUGGGUGAAGCCCCAGGGGUGGGUAUGUCUCGUAGGGGCUGUCGCAGAUCCUAGAGGGAACGCCGGGCAGCCGGGGUGGGAUUUUUUCCAAAUACCGCUCUCUCUAGGAAGCCCUGGUCUGUCCGUCCCCGCUCCAGCGAGUCUUCUUCCCCUAUGUCCGACGCGGAUGAUCGGAUUCCUCCACCGUCCUACCUCUUGUGAGUGAGUGACUUUCGUCGGCUGGGGAUUCUAGUGCCAUUCUUCGAGUUCCUGUUUGAUUUCUAAUAUAAUUUUUUUUUUGUAUUUUUCUCUUCUACCAAUAAUAUUAUCUAUCAAAUA